rnacentral:rRNA from 1 species
AAUAGAUACCCCGGUAGUCCAUGCCGUAAACGUUGGGCACUAGGUGUGGGGGACAUUCCACGUUUUCCGCGCCGUAGCUAACGCAUUAAGUGCCCCGCCUGGGGAGUACGGCCGCAAGGCUAAAACUCAAAGGAAUUGACGGGGGCCCGCACAAGCGGCGGAGCAUGCGGAUUAAUUCGAUGCAACGCGAAGAACCUUACCAAGGCUUGACAUGAACCGGAAAGAUCUGGAAACAGGUCCCCCACUUGUGGUCGGUUUACAGGUGGUGCAUGGUUGUCGUCAGCUCGUGUCGUGAGAUGUUGGGUUAAGUCCCGCAACGAGCGCAACCCUCGUUCUAUGUUGCCAGCACGUGAUGGUGGGGACUCAUAGGAGACUGCCGGGGUCAACUCGGAGGAAGGUGGGGACGACGUCAAAUCAUCAUGCCCCUUAUGUCUUGGGCUUCACGCAUGCUACAAUGGCCGGUACAAAGGGUUGCGAUACUGUGAGGUGGAGCUAAAUCCCAAAAAGCCGGUCUCAGUUCGGAUUGGGGUCUGCAACUCGACCCCA